rnacentral:rRNA from 1 species
UCGGGAAUUUUGCGCAAUGGAGGAAACUCUGACGCAGUGACGCCGCGUAUAGGAAGAAGGUUUUCGGAUUGUAAACUAUUGUCGAUGAGGAAGAUAAAAGACUGUACUCAUCAAGAAAGCUCCGGCUAACUACGUGCCAGCAGCCGCGGUAAUACGUAGGGAGCAAGCGUUAUCCGGAAUUAUUGGGUGUAAAGGGUGCGUAGACGGGAAAGCAAGUCAGCUGUGAAAUCCCUCGGCUUAACUGAGGAACUGCAGCUGAAACUACAUUUCUUGAGUGCAGGAGAGGAAAGUGGAAUUCCUAGUGUAGCGGUGAAAUGCGUAGAUAUUAGGAGGAACACCAGUGGCGAAGGCGACUUUCUGGACUGUAACUGACGUUGAGGCACGAAAGUGUGGGGAGCAAACAGG